AUAAAUACCUAAAUUUUUAUUAUUUUUCUAGGGUGUAAAAAUUUUAAUGCAUAAAGGAAAAUAAAACAAGCCUAACAAAAUUGGUUUCACUACUUUUGGACACUCCUACAAAUUUCUGUGAUUUAAAUGGUGAAAUUCGGAUUUAAACUAAUUAUUCUAUAAAGGAAAUCUAAUUUUCCCGAAAAACACCCCUGGAAAACUUUUCUCACGCAGCUCGACUCUACCCUCUCUCACGCGCGCUGGGCCCACGGCGCGGACCCACCUUUUCUCCCGUUCCACAUACCCGCCGACCUUUUUCUCCCCCUGACGGGCCCCCUUGGGCCGUUUUCUUUUUCUCUUUUCUUUUCCCGAUCCGUUAUCAGCCCAACGGCCCUUUUCUUUUUCUUCUUUCUUUCGCGAGCGCGGCCUGCCUCCUACUGGGCCUCCGGCCCCCUUUUCCUCUACGGUCGACCGCGCCGGCUGCUUGGGCCUCCGACGCGCCAGCCCAACAAACGCUCGCGCCCCGGCCUUCUUCUUCCCCCUCUCUUUCCCACUGACGCGCGGGCCCAAAGCUCUAGACGCUUCUUCCUCCUCCCGCCAAAAUGCGCGCGCGCGACAGGGGGCGGCGCGACUCGCCAGCCGGCGCCCUACCGGCGGCGGGACUAGGCCAAGACAGCACCUCUAUACCUUCACGCACCCGCGCGCGGCAACAGCUCCUCGGGAGAUGGCCGGAGCCAUUCCCUCCACGGCGGCGGGCGGCGGCAUCUUCAGCCGGUCGCGGCUACGCACGACGACGGC
rnacentral:lncRNA from 1 species